UUCAAACAACCUAUCGAACUGAACCCUGAAGAGUCUCCACUUGAAACCAAUGGAUUCCGUCUGAAUCUGACAUGACUAAACUUCUCAGACAGUGUUAUGCUAAUCCUUGAAGUUCUUUCCUCACAUUCUUCAAAAGUGUUAACUUUCGUCGACUUGAGCUUCCUCAAAUUCAGCAGUUACAAACUCUUCUGUUCAAUUCUAAGGUUCUGACAUAAAUGCACGAAACUGAUUUGGUGCGGUAGUAACUCGAUAAUUAUAUCCUUAAACCUCCACAGUUCUCUGUCUUUGGU
rnacentral:lncRNA from 1 species